AAUGGGGGAUAGAGAAAAGAAAAUAGAGGAAGGGAAAGUAAAAAGGAAAAAAAACAAAAAAAAAAAGUUUUUUUCUUUUUCGUAACAAGGUUUCCGUAGGUGGGCCUGCGG
rnacentral:rRNA from 1 species